rnacentral:rRNA from 1 species
CAAUGGACAAUACCAACGGAUACGAAACCGUUAAGCGAACCCAAUCCCAUAACGUUGUUCUCAGUUCGGAUUGUAGUCUGCAACUCUUCUACAUGAAGCUGGAAUCGCUAGUAAUCGUAGAUCAGCAUGCUACGCUGAAUACGUUCCCGGGUCUCGUACACACCGCCCGUCACACCCCGAGAGUUUGUAUCACCCGAAGCCGGUGGAGUAACCAUUUGGAGCUAGCCGUCGAAGGUGGGACAAAUGAUUGGGGUGAAGUCGUAACAGGGUAGCCG